UUUGAAACAAAAGGAGUCCUGAUUAUGGCAGAACUGCUGGUCAAAGAAAUGGAGACUGAUUUUUCUCUCCUCUAAUUUCUCUUCACACUGGCACCUGACCUGGAGGCCAUGGAUGCCAUUACGCCAGGGGUCAUGCUGAGGCCAGUCUGCCAAGCACAGAGGUGCUGGGAAGGCAGCAGUCUGUCAUUGCCAGACUCAUGUGCUGAUGGAAUCUUUUGGAAGGGAAGGUUGCAUCUGCUAAUCCAUGUCACAGCCAGCACUAUGCAUAGAAUCAUAGAAUAUCCCAAGUUGGAAGUGAGUUACAAGGACCAUCAAGUCCAAACCCUGGCUCCACACAGGACGACCCAAAAAUCAAAUGCCAUGUCUGGGAGCACUGUCUAGAUACUUCUUGAACUCCGGCAUGUUGGACCUGUGAUCUCUGCCUUGGAGAGUGUGUUUCAGUGCCUGACCACCCUCUGGUGAAGAACCUUUUCUUGAUAUCCAAUCUGACACUCACCUUCAUGGCAUUCCUUCACAGCUACGUGCCAAUAAAGAGAGCAUAAAUUGUCCAUGCAUUUUUUAGGGCUUUCUGUAGAUCCUGUGCUCUAUGAAAUCACCAUAGCUUCCUUUAGAU
ensembl:lncRNA